rnacentral:tRNA from 1 species
CUUUUAGUGGCUGAUAAAAGCAUUGGCCUCUUAAGCCAAAAAAUGAUAACUUCCUAAAAG